rnacentral:rRNA from 1 species
UUACGGGAGGCAGCAGUGGGGAAUAUUGGACAAUGGGCGCAAGCCUGAUCCAGCCAUGCCGCGUGUGUGAAGAAGGUCUUCGGAUUGUAAAGCACUUUAAGUUGGGAGGAAGGUCAGUAACCUAAUACGUUGCUGAUUUGACGUUACCGACAGAAUAAGCACCGGCUAACUCUGUGCCAGCAGCCGCGGUAAUACAGAGGGUGCAAGCGUUAAUCGGAAUUACUGGGCGUAAAGCGCGCGUAGGUGGUUAUGUAAGUUGGAUGUGAAAUCCCCGGGCUCAACCUGGGAACUGCAUCCAAAACUGCAUAGCUAGAGUACGGUAGAGGGUGGUGGAAUUUCCUGUGUAGCGGUGAAAUGCGUAGAUAUAGGAAGGAACACCAGUGGCGAAGGCGACCACCUGGACUGAUACUGACACUGAGGUGCGAAAGCGUGGGGAGCAAACAGGAUUAGAUACCCCGGUAGU